GACGGAAGGUGCGAAUGUUGUUCGGUGUCACUGGGCAUAAAGGGUGCGUAGGCGCCCGGUCAGUCAUGCGUGAAAGCCCCCGGCUCAACCGGGGAAGUGCGCACGAUACUGCCGGGCUCGAGGACCGCAGGGGUGAGGGGAACUCCAGGUGUAGCGGUGAAAUGCGUAGAUAUCUGGGGGAAGGCCGGAGGCGAAGGCGCCUCACUGGGCGGUUCCUGACGCUGAGGCACGAAAGCUGGGGGAGCAAACAGGAUUAGAUACCCGCGUA
rnacentral:rRNA from 1 species